ACGGGAGGCAGCAGUGGGGAAUAUUGCACAAUGGGGGAAACCCUGAUGCAGCGACGCCGCGUGAGCGAUGAAGUAUUUCGGUAUGUAAAGCUCUAUCAGCAGGGAAGAAAAUGACGGUACCUGACUAAGAAGCUCCGGCUAAAUACGUGCCAGCAGCCGCGGUAAUACGUAUGGAGCAAGCGUUAUCCGGAUUUACUGGGUGUAAAGGGCGCGUAGGCGGGAGUGCAAGUCAGAUGUGAAAUCCAUGGGCUUAACCCAUGAACUGCAUUUGAAACUGUGCUUCUUGAGUGUCGGAGAGGUAGAUGGAAUUCCUAGUGUAGCGGUGAAAUGCGUAGAUAUUAGGAAGAACACCAGUGGCGAAGGCGAUCUACUGGACGAUAACUGACGCUGAGGCGCGAAAGCGUGGGGAGCAAACAGGAUUAGAUACCCUGGUA
rnacentral:rRNA from 1 species